AGAACGAACGCUGGCGGCAGGCUUAACACAUGCAAGUCGAGCGCCCCGCAAGGGGAGCGGCAGACGGGUGAGUAACGCGUGGGAACAUACCCUCCGGUUCGGAAUAGCUCAGGGAAACUUGGAUUAAUACCGGAUACGGCCUAGCGGCGAAAGAUUCAUCGCCGGAGGAUUGGCCCGCGUUCGAUUAGCUAGUUGGUGAGGUAACGGCUCACCAAGGCGACGAUCGAUAGCUGGUCUGAGAGGAUGAUCAGCCACAUUGGGACUGAGACACGGCCCAAACUCCUACGGGAGGCAGCAGUGGGAAUAUUGGACAAUGGGCGCAAGCCUGAUCCAGCCAUGCCGCGUGAGUGAUGACGGCCUUAGGGUUGUAAAGCUCUUUCGCUAGGGACGAUAAUGACGGUACCUAGACAAGAAGCCCCGGCUAACUUCGCGCCAGCAGCCGC
rnacentral:rRNA from 1 species